ACUCAAAGGAAUAGACGGGGGCCCGCACAAGCAGCGGAGCGUGUGGUUUAAUUCGAGGCUACACGAAGAACCUUACCUGGGUUUGACAUGAGGGUGGUAGGGAAGGGAAACCGGACCGACCUUCGGGAGCCUUCACAGGUGCUGCAUGGCUGUCGUCAGCUCGUGUCGUGAGAUGUUCGGUUAAGUCCGAAAACGAGCGCAACCCCCGGCGUCAGUUACAAGUGUCUGGCGCGACUGCCCGUGAGAAACGGGAGGAAGGUGGGGAUGACGUCAAGUCAGCAUGGCCUUGAUAUCCAGGGCGACACACACGCUACAAUGGUCGGUACAAUUGGUUGCAAGCGCGCGAGCGGGAGCCAAUCCCAAAAGCCGAUCGCAGUUCGGAUUGCAGGCUGCAACCCGCCUGCAUGAAGGAGGAGUUGCUAGUAACCGCGCAUCAGCGAUGGCGCGGUGAAUACGUUCCCGGGCCUUGUACACACCGCCCGU
rnacentral:rRNA from 1 species